CAUGGCAGGCUGCAAGACAGUUGAGAAUGUUGUGCAUUUAUUGUGCUUAAGUGUCCUCCUCCGUGUUGGCGCUGUACCAACAUCGUGCAGCAUCGAGUCAACGCCCAGCCGUGAUGAUGUCAACACCACUAAAAAGAUGAGAUGGACGUCAGUUUUGUCAGCUCGAGUCGACUGCCUACUACGGUGUUACAACGACGUCCUCUGCAAGAGCUUCAUCUACAAUCCACUGACUGGUAUCUGCUCUGGCUAUUUUGCCUAUCCCUAUACAGUCACAACUGCAGAUCUCCACAGCUCUUCAGGCUCGAAGUGGUUCACUAUGUGUACAGAACACCACAUUGUCACCCGACGGUGCGGGUCGGUCAAUUGUCCUGUCACCGCCUCCUUCAGGACAGGGAACUGUGGGUGUGGUUUCGGGCGCAGGUUUGACCCUCAACGAAUUCAUGUGUGAAAUCGUGCGGAUCAUACGGGAACGACUACACGCAGCUGACGGGCGUUGGUAUAAACGGAUACAAUGAUAAACCACUUGACAUAUCUGACCCCGAAUCCUGUGCACGAGCUUGUUCAGAUGAAACAUCCUUUGUCUGCACCAUGGCAGAAUCUGUCUACGGAAAGUGUCGUCUGUCCCCAGGAUUGUUGACGUGGUUCACAUAUCUCUAUUGUACGUGUCCGAAACAGCAAAUCUCUUUCUACGCCACUGUGUGUAACAGCCAUAGGUUUUGUGGUCGGGUGUUUUAAUCUCAAUUCGAGUAAGAUUAAUUUGUAAACGUUAUGGUGACAGGACUGAGAAAUAUGUUCCUAUUACAUUAUUUAUUAUAAUGUUUGUCUCUUCGGUGAAGCAUUUUCUGUCCAAAAUGAGUUUUAAACCCUAUUGCAGCCUAUCCGCUGUUAUACGAAAUGAAUCCCAAAUCCUGACAUUUUUUAGCGCUUAUGUAUCAUAAAAGCAACUGUCAAACUCCUUGCAUUAAUAAGCGGUUCUUUACAUAUAUCUAAAACGGAAUAUCUUGAAUAACCAGUUUUUUCAUUAUGUCAUAAAACAUCCAGAGCAAUCACAAUUACGGUCUAAACUGUUGAAGAGAAGUAUAUAUGGAAUAUUUAAAAGGGAAAAUGUAUCUGCGCAUGUAAGAGAGAAGCACAUCCUGCAUAGCGACCAUGAUCUCAGUCGAAAGAAUGAACGUAUUGUAUUCAAAAUGCAUACUAUCUCGACAGAUGAUACAUUCACAAAGGAUUACGAAAUAUAGCGUUAGAAAAGAGCUUGAAAGUUUGGAUGAUAGGACACAUUUUGAGUUCAAGUCUGUUCCUCUCAACUGCUGCGCAGGAGAAGGUUCCAUGGUGUGUUUGUGUUACCGUUGGGAUUCUGCAGCUGAGUUCAGGUCGCACAAAUAGCUACACACAGAUAGGUGCAUCACAAAGUCUUGUUGGUGAUUCUUUUUAAGAUCUGUAACGUGCGAAUUGAUGUGUUUCAAGUGCUGCCAACCUGACUGUUGUGUCAUGGAUAUGCAGCAUUGUAGUAGUGAGAUAAUUCGUUGCACCUGUCAAAAGAACAUGACAGCAGUCGACCCUAGACAUAUUUAAAUGAUUGAGUGUUAGACAUAUCCGUAUUUUCUAUAUGAUUUUGACUUGCAAGAAACCAACCUUGCUAUUGUUAUAUAUUUAUAAUUAUACUGUAAGCCAUUAAAACGCAAUUGGUAUCUG